GAUGAACGCUGGCGGCGUGCUUAACACAUGCAAGUCGAACGGAAAGGCCCAAGCUUGCUUGGGUACUCGAGUGGCGAACGGGUGAGUAACACGUGGGUGAUCUGCCCUGCACUUCGGGAUAAGCCUGGGAAACUGGGUCUAAUACCGGAUAGGACGAUGGUUUGGAUGCCAUUGUGGAAAGUUUUUUCGGUGUGGGAUGAGCUCGCGGCCUAUCAGCUUGUUGGUGGGGUAAUGGCCUACCAAGGCGUCGACGGGUAGCCGGCCUGAGAGGGUGUACGGCCACAUUGGGACUGAGAUACGGCCCAGACUCCUACGGGAGGCAGCAGUGGGGAAUAUUGCACAAUGGGCGCAAGCCUGAUGCAGCGAAGCCGCGUGGGGGAUGACGGCCUUCGGGUUGUAAACUCCUUUCGCUAGGGACGAAGCGUUUUGUGACGGUACCUGGAGAAGAAGCACCGGCUAACUACGUG
rnacentral:rRNA from 1 species